AGUUGUUUUAAAUUAAACUUUUAUUUUGUGUCUCCCCCUUCAGCAUCCUGUCCAAGACAAAGCUACCUUUCCUCGUGGGAAUGGACUGGCCGGGCUUUGGCAAUCUGGCCCCUCGAAAGUCUUAAGUGACCUCUUCCAGCAGGGGAAGACUGAAGCAAGGGGUGCCAGAAAGAACUGGAGUUUCUGGAGAAUAAAAGCUGGAAGCGUGCCCCCGAAAAUCCCCCCGGGUGGUCAGUGGUCUGACUUGCAGGGACCGGUGGCCUUGGCCAGGAGCGGUCCUGUGGGAAGCGCCUUUGCCCAGGCUGUAAUUUUAAUUUCCAUUGGCUGCUUGGCAAAGCCCCCCUGAGUGAGCCCCAGUGCCUGGCAUGAGCGGAGCGGGCUUCCAGGGAGGUAUUCACCUGGUCAGCGUCAGGAACCAUCCUAACUGAGGCCUCGGCUCCCUCUUUCCCUUCGGUUGCCAUGGGUGUGCCGGACACCUCUGGCAGGACUAACCCUGUGGCUUUUAUGUCCAACGUGCUGUGCUGUGUGCCUGCAGAAUUGCCACGAGAGGAAAUACUUCAGAGGGGCUCCCCUCCAGAUAAGCCCUGAAUAUGCCAGGAGGUUUCAGCCGGGAGGAAAGGAGCUGUGGAAGAAAAGCAGCCUGAAAAUAGCCAGCGGGGAUCAUCAGGUUUUCCAGGCAAGAAGAACAAGGAGAGAGAUGAGGGAAUCGGGUUCCAAUUCCUAAUGAUUUGGUGGGUGCAGGAAUGAUUUCUGUGUGUUUUCCAGUCCCUUUUGAUUCCUGAGAUGAUUUUAAAAUGAUGGCUUUAGCAAUCAACUAAAUCGGAGACGUUGUUUUUGAGAGGAAAUGAUGCCAAAUAAAUGCAGAGUUUUGGGUCAGUUUUUGGGAUGAUUUGGGUCAUUUUUUGGGGUCAGUUUGGGGUCACUGUUUGGGGUGAUUUGGGUCAGUUUUGGGUCAGCUUUUGGGAUGAUUGGGGUCAGUUUUGGGUCAGCUUUUGGGAUGAUUUGGGUCGGUUUGGGGUCAAUUUUUGGGGAGCACUGGGUGCUACUGGAGGUUGUUGGGGAGCACUGGGAGAGAAGAUGAAAAAUAAAGAGAAUAAAAAAUAAACGAAAUAAAAAAAGGAAAUAUAAAAAACAAAAGAAAAUUAAAAAAAAGGCAAAAAACCUAAAAAGGAAAUAAAA